AGCGAACGCUGGCGGCAAGCUUAACACAUGCAAGUCGAACGCCCCGCAAGGGGAGUGGCGGACGGGUGUAUAACGCGUGGGAAUCUACCCUUCAGUUCAGGAUCACUCAGGGAAACUUGCGCUAAUACUGCCUAGUAUCUCCGGAUCAAAGAUUUAUCUCUGAAGGCUUAGCCCGCGUCUGAUUAGCUAGUUGGUGGGGUAAUGUCCUACCAAGGCAACGAUCAGUAGCUGGUCGAAGAGGAUGAUUCGCCACACUGGGACUGAGCAACGGCCGAGACUCCGACGGGAAGAAGCAGUGGGGAAUAUUGGACAAUGGGGUAAACCCUGAUCCAGCUAUGCCGCGUGAGUGAUGAAGGCCUUCGGGUUGUAAAGCUCUUUAGUCAUGGACGAUAAUGACGGUACCUGAAGAAUAAGCGCCGGCGAACUUCGUGCCAGCCGCCGCAGUAA
rnacentral:rRNA from 1 species